rnacentral:rRNA from 1 species
AAUAGAUACCCCGGUAGUCCACGCCGUAAACGAUGAGUGCUAAGUGUUAGGGGGUUUCCGCCCCUUAGUGCUGCAGCUAACGCAUUAAGCACUCCGCCUGGGGAGUACGGUCGCAAGACUGAAACUCAAAGGAAUUGACGGGGGCCCGCACAAGCGGUGGAGCAUGUGGUUUAAUUCGAAGCAACGCGAAGAACCUUACCAGGUCUUGACAUCCCGCUGACCGCUAUGGAGACAUAGUUUUCCCUUCGGGGACAGCGGUGACAGGUGGUGCAUGGUUGUCGUCAGCUCGUGUCGUGAGAUGUUGGGUUAAGUCCCGCAACGAGCGCAACCCUUGUUCUUAGUUGCCAUCAUUUAGUUGGGCACUCUAAGGAGACUGCCGGUGACAAACCGGAGGAAGGUGGGGAUGACGUCAAAUCAUCAUGCCCCUUAUGACCUGGGCUACACACGUGCUACAAUGGACGGUACAAACGGUCGCGAAGUCGCGAGACGGAGCCAAUCCGAUAAAACCGUUCUCAGUUCGGAUUGUAGGCUGCAACUCGCCUAC